CCAAAGGUGCUUCUCAGCACCACAUUGUGAAAACUUUCGAUAUUUU
rfam:Opisthocomus hoazin contig107484, whole genome shotgun sequence.